rnacentral:misc_RNA from 1 species
AAAGCCACCAUCACUUGCCUGAUCGAGCUAAGGAAAUUCUAAACCAAAGUCUUAACAAGAACGCCAAGUCCCAAUCAGUAAGACAUAUGCACCAGUUCUACAGCUAGAGCUAAUGCUGUAUGGCAGAAAAUAUUUAAUGCAUCCCCAAUGGGACACUGUAUGCAGAGAUACUUUUAAGCUUUUAAUUCGGAUAUGAACCAGAUCAUGGAGUUAAAGAUGGUAAGUAGCUUAUAAUAUUGAUAUUCAAUUCUUGCAAGAAAAGGUAUGGAGAAGUAGUACAUGUAAGUAUACUGCCCACAUGCCCACAUUGAU